CUGCCUGACCUCGCCGCAAGCCGGGGGGCUUGUUUCCCUGCGAGCAUCCGCUUUUCCUUCUCUCGGAGGAGGGAUGCGGGAGACAAGACGCAGCAGCAAGGAAGGCUGAGACGACGUGACKUUCCCGCCGGCUGAGCAGCUCGCUGCCUGCUUUCUCGCUCCGGCCAGACCCAGGGAUUUUUUCCUCACGUCAGCCAUCCCCUCCUAGCUCUGUCCUGGCUUUUGCUCCUCUCCUAGCUUCGAUCCGUGCGAGGCUGGCUGCUCCGAAUCUCCUCCGGCUCACCCGAAUUUGGCAGUUCCUUGCCCCACUGGAGCUAGGCGGAGAGGUUGCUUGAAGUGAAUCACAUCCCCAGGCUCCAAAAUAGCUGUGGAAGCUUCUCCC
rnacentral:lncRNA from 1 species